rnacentral:rRNA from 1 species
AGCGAACGCUGGCGGUAGGCCUAACACAUGCAAGUCGAACGGCAGCACCGGAGUGUUCGCUCUUUGGGUGGCGAGUGGCGGACGGGUGAGGCGUAAAUCGGAAUCUGUUCGGUUGCGGAGGAUAACGUAGGGCAACUUACGCUACUAGCGCGUACGUCCUUCUGGUGAGAGAGGGGGGGAGCGAGACCUCUCGCGGUUGUGUGAGCCGAUGUCGUAUUCGCUUGUUGGGGGGGGAAGGGCCCACCAAGGCGACUAUCUGUAGCUGGUGUGAGAGGAGGAUCAGCCACACGGGAACUUAGACACGGUCCAGACUCCUACGGUAGGCAGCAGUGGGGAAUAUUGGACAAUGGGGGCAAGCCUGGUCCAGCCAUACCACGUGGGUGAAGAAGGCCUUCGGGUUGUAAAGCCCGUUUGUUGGGAAAGAAACCUUUCAGGCUAAUACCCUGGGAGGAUGACGGUACCCAAAGAAUAAGCACCGGCUAACUUCGUG